AACAGAAAAAAUUUAAAAGAUUCAAUUUGAGUAUUUUUUGAGAAUAGCGACGACUUCCUCGAAGCGAUAGACAUAAAACACGUGUGAAGGUUAGCCACCGUUAAGAGAAUAGAGAUCGGCCACAAAGAUGAGAAUUGAAUUGGGAAUGGUAGAAUGAAAAAGGAAUUGGAAAAGGAAGACAUGUUUUU
ensembl:ncRNA H30A04.7 ncRNA